UAUUGAAAUAAACCUGAUAGGUUGUUGCUGGCUCUUUCGGGAGCAUGUGCACGCUUGUCAUCUUUAUAUUUCCACCUGUGCACCUUUUGUAGAUCUGGAUAUCGUUCUGAAUGCCCUGGUAUUCAGGUACGAGGAUUGACUUUUCUGCCUCUCCUUACAUUUUCAGGCCUAUGUUCUUUCAUAUAACCUCAAUGUAUGUUAAGGAAUGUGUAAUACUAUGGGCUUUCAUGCCUUAUAAACCUAUACAACUUUCAGCAACGGAUCUCUUGGCUCUCGCAUCGAUGAAGAACGCAGCGAAAUGCGAUAAGUAAUGUGAAUUGCAGAAUUCAGUGAAUCAUCGAAUCUUUGAACGCACCUUGCACUCCUUGGUAUUCCGAGGAGUAUGCCUGUUUGAGUGUCAUUAAUAUAUCAACCUCGUGUAUGGAUGUGGGGGAUUAUUUUGCUGGCCUUUUUUGCUGAGGUCAGCUCCCCUGAAAUGCAUUGGCAGAAUGAUUUGCUCACUGUUCAUUGGUGUGAUAACUAUCUACGCUAUUGACAUUGAGAGCAGUUCAGCUUAUAAUGGUCCAUUGACUUGGACAACAUAUUUUAUUAAAUGUGACCUC
rnacentral:misc_RNA from 1 species